CUUGUCGCACAAGCUCUCCUUUGCUUGCUCCGUAAGAAUGCCACUUCUGUGAGGCGUUCAUGGGCAAGAAAAAAAAACAGAAGAAAUCUUUGCAAGAAGGAAAUUCUAGCAAAAGAGAAGAGAGAUCUUUCUCUUUCUUUCUGCUAUGAUAUUCUUUGCUCGGUAGCUACAAGUGAUAGAGUUCAGGAAUCGAUGUAUUUGUUCCUCGAGCGAUGCAACUUACAAAUCCCACUUUGGUUUUAUUCCGGAGCGCUUGGUGUCGUCUUGAGCUUUCGACAUCGGCUUCACCGACUUGGCUCUCGGAGCACUUGACGACUCAGCAACCAGCUCUCGGAGCACUUGGUGACUCGGUAACCGACUAUCUCGGACACCCUGCAACUUCACUGACUCAGCAUCAAUGUUAUCGAUUCAACAUCGGCUCAGCUCGUGCAACCACCAGCGACGUCCUAAAAGAGCUCGGACGAAGUUGACGAUUGAUUUGCAUGCCAGGCCGACAAUUUAAGCAGCCAAGUCAUUCUUCCCAUUCUCAACAUUUAGGAGCAGCAAAUGUAAUGAGACAAAGCCUCGAAGGACGUCUAGGUUUCUGCUCGAGUUUAGUGGCCAUUGCGAGCUUGAGGGAAUACAGGUUCAUCCACUACGUUCGUUUGGAUGAACAGUUUGUUCAUGAGAAUAGUUACUUGAUUGUUCUAACGUGAAAGCUAACUGUGUUUCAAUACACAUCUUGUGUUGGAACUGUAUCGUAUGAAGUUAAUGGCGAAAGAAAAGCUGAAUUGUUCUGUCAGCAAUGGGAUUCAUUGUCUAACCAACAGGUCUGGAGUUGUAGCAGACUGAGUAAAACGGAUGAUGAUCGGAAGAAACUAUAAUUCUGGAUCUCCACAGAGCAUGCAUUCAGAUUAAUACGCAAGUUGAUGUACUUUUCAGUAAAAUAUGAGUAUCUUCGUGCAGAAAUGUAAUUAACAGUGUCAGUUCGUUCAUGCAAAAUUAAAUUUUAUCGAAUCUGGUCCAUGCUGCCAAGUUGAUGUUUCUGAAGUGCCCUUCGCUAAGUUGCGACAGGAAAGAAACUGCCAAUGGAGAUGUGAUGUCUCUUUGUCAACAGAUGGAUGCUUUCUGUCUCCGUG